GUCAGUCAUCACCUCCCUUGGCUGGGAAUGUGGGCUCCCCUGGCUCUGUGCCUCUCCCAGAUGGGAUAUCUCCCCACCCUGCUUUUCCUUGCUCUCCAUGGGUUGAGCUGUCCACCUAGUCAGUCCCAAUGCAAGAACCUGGAUUCCUCAGUUGAAGGUGCAUAAUUCACUUGCUGUUUUUAUUUCACUUUGUGAGAGCUGCAGACUGCAGCUGCGUCUAAUCAACCAUCUUGGCCCACCCACCCAAAAAAGUUAAAAUUGUUUCUUUAAAAUAUGUGUUGCUAUCCUUUGGCUCUGUGUUCCCACCAAAAUCUGUCAAAUUGUAACUCCCAGUGUUGGAAGAGGGGUCUCAUGGGAAGUGAUUGAAUCAUGGGGGCAGAUUGAUUUGUGGUUUAAUUGAUUACCCAUAAAUAUAGAAAUGAUUACAUCUGUUCUUUCAACUCCAGUUAGGUGUGGAUCUAGGCUAAGGAAACUGAAUGCUGAGAUUUAUGGCAAUUUUGGGACUACUACAACUGACUAUGGAAAUGCUGUUAGACAAAAAGCAAAUUUGAGCAAUUUUCUCAUUUGAGUUCAAAAUGUGUCGUAAAACAGUGGAGACAACUCGCAACAUCAGUAAAGCAUUUGGCCCAGGAACUGUUACUGAACAUACAAUGUAGUGGCGGUUCAAGAAGUUUUGCAAAGGAGAUGAGAGCCUUGAAGAUGAGAAGCAUAGUGGCUGGCCAUCGGAAGUUGACAACAACCAAUUGAGAGAAUCUUUGAAGCUGAUCCUCUUACAACUACACAAGAAGUUGCCUUAAAACUCAACACCAACCAUUCUAUGGUCAUUUGUAAUUUGAAGCAAAUUGGAAAGGUGAAAAAGCUUGAUAAGUGGGUGUCUCAUGAGCUGAGCAAAAAUUUUAAAAAAUCAUCAUUUUGAAGUGUCAUCUCUCAUUCUAUGCAGUAACAAUGAACCAUGUAUCAAUCGAAUUAUGAUGUACAACAAAAAGUGGAUUUUAUACAAUAACCAGUGAUGACCAACCAGCUCAGUGGUUAGACCAAGAAGAAGCUCCAAAGCCCUUCCCAAAGCCAAAACUGCACGAGAAAAAGGUCAUGGUCACUGUUUGGUAGUCUGCUGCCAGUCUAAUCCACUACAGCUUUCUGAAUUCUGGCAAAAGCAUUACAACUGAGAAAUAUGCUCAGCAAAUCAAUGAGAUGCACCAAAACCCACAAUGCCUGCAGUUGCCAUUUGCCAACAGAUAGGGCCCAAUUCUUCUCCACAACACCACCUGACUGCACGUUGCACAACCAAUGCUUCAACAGUUUAAUGAAUUGGGCUACGAAGUUUUGCCUCAUCUGUCAUAUUCACCUGACCUCUCGCCAACCGACUACCACUUCUUCAAGCACCUCGACAACUUUUUGCAGCGAAAAUGCUUCCACAACCAGCAGGAAGCAGAAAAUGCUUCCCAAGGGUUCGUUGAAUCCCAAAGCAUGGAUUUUUACCCUACAGGAAUAAACAAACUUAUUUCUCUUUGGAAAAAAUGUGUUCAUUGUAAUGAUUCCUGUUUUGGUUAAUAAAGAUGUGUUUGAACCUAUUUAUGAUUUAAAA